ACGGAAGGCAGCAGUGGGGAAUAUUGCACAAUGGGGGAAACCCUGAUGCAGCGACGCCGCGUGAGCGAAGAAGUAUUUCGGUAUGUAAAGCUCUAUCAGCAGGGAAGAAAAUGACGGUACCUGACUAAGAAGCUCCGGCUAAAUACGUGCCAGCAGCCGCGGUAAUACGUAUGGAGCAAGCGUUAUCCGGAUUUACUGGGUGUAAAGGGAGCGUAGGCGGCGGGGCAAGUCUGAUGUGAAAACCCGGGGCUCAACCCCGGGACUGCAUUGGAAACUGUCCUGCUAGAGUGUCGGAGGGGUAAGUGGAAUUCCUAGUGUAGCGGUGAAAUGCGUAGAUAUUAGGAGGAACACCGGUGGCGAAGGCGGCUUACUGGACGACAACUGACGCUGAGGCUCGAAAGCGUGGGGAGCAAACAGGAUUAGAUACCCUGGUA
rnacentral:rRNA from 1 species